GACGAACGCUGGCGGCGUGCUUAACACAUGCAAGUCGAACGGAAAGGCCCUGCUUUUGUGGGGUGCUCGAGUGGCGAACGGGUGAGUAACACGUUAGUAACCUGCCCUUGACUUUGGGAUAACUUCAGUAAACUGGGGCUAAUACCGGAUAGGAGCUCCUGCUGCAUGGUGGGGGUUGGAAAGUUUCGGCGGUUGGGGAUGGACUCGCGGCUUAUCAGCUUGUUGGUGGGGUAGUGGCUUACCAAGGCUUUGACGGGUAGCCGGCCUGAGAGGGUGACCGGCCACAUUGGGACUGAGAUACGGCCCAGACGCCUACGGGAGGCAGCAGUGGGGAAUAUUGCACAAUGGGCGGAAGCCUGAUGCAGCAACGCCGCGUGCGGGAUGACGGCCUUCGGGUUGUAAACCGCUAUCGCCUGUGACGAAGCGUGAGUGACGGUAAUGGGUAAAGAAGAACAGGCUAACUACGUG
rnacentral:rRNA from 1 species